UGUGGCGACGGGUGAGUAACACGUGGGCAAUCUGCCCUUCACUCUGGGACAAGCCCUGGAAACGGGGUCUAAUACCGGAUAUCACUUCCACUCGCAUGGGUGGGGGUUGAAAGCUCCGGCGGUGAAGGAUGAGCCCGCGGCCUAUCAGCUUGUUGGUGAGGUAAUGGCUCACCAAGGCGACGACGGGUAGCCGGCCUGAGAGGGCGACCGGCCACACUGGGACUGAGACACGGCCCAGACUCCUACGGGAGGCAGCAGUGGGGAAUAUUGCACAAUGGGCGAAAGCCUGAUGCAGCGACGCCGCGUGAGGGAUGACGGCCUUCGGGUUGUAAACCUCUUUCCAGCAGGGAAGAAGCGAAAGUGACGGUACCUGCAGAAGAAGCGCCGGCUACUUACGUGCCAGCAGCCGCGGUAUUACGUAGGGCGCAGCGUUGUCCGGAAUUAUUGGGCGUAAAGAGCUCGUAGGCGGCUUGUCCCGUCNGGUGUNAAAGCCCGGGGCU
rnacentral:rRNA from 1 species